GUAAAGAAUUUGGCAAGGUUCUUGUCUAACUUAGGGAUAACAAUGGUGUUUAUCGGGCGACUGUAUAGCAAAUACACAAGGUUUAGUUAAAGAUGUUUAUAUUUUAGAGCUGAUAUGUGACCAGUAUUUAUAAGCUCCGGAAAACAAAAGCUUGUUUUUCAGCGCAUUUACAAACGUUGGCCGUAACAAUAACGGUCCGAAGGUAGCAAAUUUCCUUGUCGUUUAAGUAACGACCUGCAUGAAACAUGGAACGAUUCGAUAGCUGUCUUGCGUACAUGUGCUGGUGAAAUAUUAGGCCCUGUGAAGAUACGGUGACUCUCUAACGGGACAAAAAGACCCUUUGAAGCUUUAUA
rnacentral:rRNA from 1 species